rnacentral:misc_RNA from 1 species
GGUCCUACGUAUACACAUCGACUCACCAUCAUCGUUAUCAUCUUUAUAUCGAAUUCAAAUCCUAUGAAUUCACGUUUUGUCACAGUACGUUUCGUUCUUGAUUAUGAACUAAUUAUUCUCAUUGGAUUUCAUCUUCUUGUCUUCUUAUAGUUGACUGCAUAUACAUAGUGGGAAAAAAAUAAGUCUUGAAGAGACAGACAGCAGAGAUGGCUGGAGGAGCUUUUACAGAUGGGGGACCUCUAAAGAGGGCUCAUCUUUAUGAGCAUAAAAUCACUGGUUAUUUCAUCUUUGCUUGCAUUGUUGCGGCUCUUGGAGGAUCCCUUUUUGGGUAUGAUCUUGGUGUGUCAGGUGGAGUCACUUCCAUGGAUGAUUUCUUGAAGGAAUUCUUCCCUACUGUGUAUGAAAAGAAGCAUGCACAUCUUCACGAGACAGAUUACUGUAAAUAUGAUAACCAAAUCCUCACCCUAUUUACUUCCUCCCUGUACUUUGCAGCCCUUGUUGCCACAUUUGGAGCCUCAUAUGUAACCAGAACUAGAGGCCGGAAAGCUAGCAUCCUUGUCGGAUCUACUAGCUUCUUUAUUGGAGCAAUUGUCAAUGCAUUUGCAAAGAAUAUUGCAAUGCUGAUCAUAGGGAGAUGUUUUCUUGGUGGAGGAAUUGGAUUUGGCAACCAGGCUGUUCCCUUGUAUCUUUCAGAAAUGGCUCCUGCAAAAAUCCGAGGAGCAGUUAACCAACUGUUUCAACUAACAACUUGUUUGGGGAUCCUGGCUGCAAACUUUAUAAAUUAUGGAACUGAAAAGAUUCAUCCAUGGGGAUGGAGGUUAUCUCUUGGUUUGGCAACUGUUUCUGCUACAAUAAUGUUCGCUGGGGGAAUUUUCCUUCCUGAGACUCCAAACAGUCUUAUAGAACAAGGCAGGCUAGAAGAAGGAAGAAGAAUACUGGAGAAAGUUAGGGGUACCACACAAGUUGAUGCUGAGUUUGAUGAUCUUGUCGAUGCAAGUAAUGCAGCACGAGCCAUAAAGCAUCCUUUCAAGAAUCUUCUUAAACGCAAGAAUCGCCCACAGUUGGUGAUUGGGGCUUUGGGAAUUCCAGCAUUCCAACAACUCACUGGAAAUAACUCUAUACUUUUCUAUGCUCCAGUAAUUUUUCAGAGUUUGGGUUUCAGCAAUGAUGCAGCUUUAUUUUCAUCUGUUAUAACCAAUGCAGCACUUGUUGUUGGUGCUCUAAUGUCCAUGGCUUUCGUGGACAAAUUUGGCAGAAGAGCUUUCUUCUUGGAAGCCGGGGCUGAGAUGUUCAUCGUCAUGGUAGCUGUGGGCAUAACUUUGGCCUUGGAUUUUGGAGA